rnacentral:misc_RNA from 1 species
GAUGAAGAACGCAGCGAAAUGUGAUAAGUAAUGUGAAUUGCAGAAUUCAGUGAAUCAUCGAAUCUUUGAACGCACAUUGCGCCCGCCAGUAUUCUGGCGGGCAUGCCUGUCCGAGCGUCAUUUCAACCAUCAAGCCCCGGGCUUGUGUUGGGGACCUGCGUCCGACGCAGGCCCUGAAAACCAGUGGCGGGCUCGCUGUCCACACCGAGCGUAGUAACUAACCUCGCUAUGGAGUGGCGCGGGCGCCUGCCGUAAAACCCCCAAUUUCACAAGGUUGACCUCGGAUCAGGUAGGAAUACCCGCUGAACUUAAGCAUAUCAAUAAGCGGGGA